AUGCACGCUGGCGGCGUGCCUAAUACAUGCAAGUCGAGCGAACAGACGAGGAGCUUGCUCCUCUGACGUUAGCGGAGGACGGGUGAGUAACACGUGGAUAACCUACCUAUAAGACUGGGAUAACUUCGGGAAACCGGAGCUAAUACCGGAUAAUAUAUUGAACCGCAUGGUUCAAUAGUGAAAGACGGUUUUGCUGUCACUUAUAGAUGGAUCCGCGCCGCAUUAGCUAGUUGGUAAGGUAACGGCUUACCAAGGCGACGAUGCGUAGCCGACCUGAGAGGGUGAUCGGCCACACUGGAACUGAGACACGGUCCAGACUCCUACGGGAGGCAGCAGUAGGGAAUCUUCCGCAAUGGGCGAAAGCCUGACGGAGCAACGCCGCGUGAGUGAUGAAGGUCUUCGGAUCGUAAAACUCUGUUAUUAGGGAAGAACAAAUGUGUAAGUAACUAUGCACGUCUUGACGGUACCUAAUCAGAAAGCCACGGCUAACUACGUG
rnacentral:rRNA from 1 species